AGGGCACCACCAGGAGUGGAGCCUGCGGCUUAAUUUGACUCAACACGGGAAACCUCACCCGGCCCGGACACGGACAGGAUUGACAGAUCGAUAGCUCUUUCUCGAUUCCGUGGGUGGUGGUGCAUGGCCGUUCUUAGUUGGUGGAGCGAUUUGUCUGGUUAAUUCCGAUAACGAACGAGACUCUGGCAUGCUAACUAGUUACGCGACCCCCCGAGCGGUCGGCGUCCCCCAGCUUCUUAGAGGGACAAGUGGCGUUCAGCCACCCGAGAUUGAGCAAUAACAGGUCUGUGAUGCCCUUAGAUGUCCGGGGCUGCACGCGCGCUACACUGACUGGCUCAGCGUGUGCCUACCCUACGCCGGCAGGCGCGGGUAACCCGUUGAACCCCAUUCGUGAUGGGGAUCGGGGAUUGCAAUUAUUCCCCAUGAACGAGGAAUUCCCAGUAAGUGCGGGUCAUAAGCUUGCGUUGAUUAAGUCCCUGCCCUUUGUACACACCGCCCGUCGCCACUACCGAUUGGGAU
rnacentral:rRNA from 1 species